CUGCCAAGUUACAUUUCAAACAGAUUUUCACCAGAAAAUUUCAAAAGGAAACGGAAAUGCACCCGUGACCCUGCGCACCCUUUGGCCCCCGUGAUUCCGCUUUCCAUUGGCGUGUUGCAGCGCACAAAACGUUGGCGACAGCAGCAAGUUAAUAGUUUAUGGCCAGGAUGCGAUUACACGAGCUCCAUUUUCCGAAUGGGCCUUGACCUACACUGCCGCCUGGCUGUGAUGCAGCUCGGACCUUGGGCCAAAUGAAUUCGGACUGAAAAUCACUUGACAUAACGCUGGCGGGUGGCUGCUGGCUGCUGGCUCUCCCGAGGUGCCGAGCUGCCGAGCGCGUUAAGCUCGUGUGAUGCCUGCUGUUCUCGUCCUUGCGAAUCAAUCGAUUGUCUGAACUGCAUUCAGUGCACUUUGAGGCUGAAAAGAUGCCUCUGCAGCUUUUGAUGCCCUGUAAAGCGGGGAUAGUAUGACAUUCACCACAGGUUGGCAAAGCAGUUUUUGAAACAUCUAUCUGUAAAGUGAAACAGUGUCCAUUCUUAGUUAAAUGUACCUUAACCGAAUGCUCCUAAUUUGAUUUCAAACUAUUCAAGGAUAUCAAAUUUCCUAUUAAAACAUUUGAAUUUUGGCCAUCAUGUCUGGAAAAUUCCAUUCCAAAUAUAUCUUAAACCUACCCCAGACUGGCUAAAUUGUAAUGAUUCUAAAUUUAAUUGUUUGUAAUGACAAAUCAAGGCUAUCAAAUUUCUUAUUAAACCUUAAGAUUCGUGAAACUUUUGUUUUAAUCUGUCAUGGAUACAAUCGGCCUUAAAGGGUACACCCAUUUUCGAUCUGCCAGCCAAAAGGACUCCUCGCUUGUCCUUUCCCCCGUCAUUUCCCCGUUUUCCCCCUCUGCCCAAACCCCACUUUCAGCU